CGGACGGGUGAGUAACGCGUGAGAAUCUGUCUUCAGGUCGGGGACAACAGUUAGAAAUGACUGCUAAUACCGGAUGUGCCUUUGGGUGAAAGAUUUAUUGCCUGAAAAAGAGCUCGCGUCAGAUUAGCUAGUAGGUGGUGUAAGAGACUACCUAGGCUCCGAUCUGUAGCUGGUCUGAGAGGACGAUCAGCCACACUGGAACUGAGACACGGUCCAGACUCCUACGGGAGGCAGCAGUGGGGAAUUUUCCGCAAUGGGCGAAAGCCUGACGGAGCAAUACCGCGUGAGGGACGAAGGCUCUUGGGUCGUAAACCUCUUUUCUCAAGGAAGAUUUAGACGGUACUUGAGGAAUAAGCAUCGGCUAACUCUGUGCCAGCAGCCGCGGUAAUACAGAGGAUGCAAGCGUUAUCCGGAAUGAUUGGGCGUAAAGCGUCCGCAGGUGGUUUAAAAAGUCUGCUGUUAAAGCGUGUGGCUCAACCACAUACAGGCAGUGGAAACUAUUAGACUAGAGUAUGUUAGGGGUAGAGGGAAUUCCCAGUGUAGCGGUGAAAUGCGUAGAGAUUGGGAAGAACACCGGUGGCGAAAGCGCUCUGCUAGGACAAUACUGACACUGAGGGACGAAAGCUAGGGGAGCGAAUGGGAUUAGAUACCCCAGUAGUC
rnacentral:rRNA from 1 species